AAAAGUGAACCAACAAAAACAACACAACCUAAAAGGGAGUUGAGGAGGCCAGUGGAGAAAGAGGGCAUCACAUUGACAACUUGGCCAGAAAUCUGGACACUGUAAGGGAGGAUUUAGUGCUGGGUCGUGCCCUGGGCUGAAUUUAUCGCUGCUUGCCUUGUUAACUCGCCUCAUGUUUAAAGUCAAAACUGCCAUAGGCUCUGAGGGAUUUCCAUCUUUGUCAUUUGUAUGAUCUGCCUCAAAAUACAACCUCCCAAGUAAGGAGCAUGAUUCCCCUCCUGCCAGGAAGAAGAAAGCAGAGAAUUGAGGGAUGCCGAAAUCGAUUUUUAAAGGGUUUGGGUUUGGGGCGGUUCCGGAUGAGGCUCUGUGCGCUAAGUGAGCGAGACGGGGAGGUGGGAGAGGACUGAGCGCUAUGGAAAGGUGGUGGGGACGCAGGUGAGGGCGACGCGGGGAAGCGCAUGGUCCUGGGGCCCGCAGACGGGACGGAGCAGCCGCGGCCCGCAGACGGGACGGAGCAGCCAGCGCCGCUUGUCGGGGCUUGUGGUUGCGAACAUAGAGUGGAAAGAGGAUUCUGCGCUCUGCUCCCGCCCCGGGAGAUUAAGAGUCAACCCUACCAUGCAGCCACGUUUUGCCAGUUCCAGGCAGCCGGGAGCCCAGGAAUGCACCCGAAAGGCGGGGAGUCAAGGUCCCCCACCGCUUCUCCAGCGCCAGGAGGCCGCAAUUUGUAAGGCGAAAUUAAAAAUGCACCACGUGUCGGCCCGGAGGCUAACGAUGUUUAUACAGACAUACCACACCGAGGGAACCGGCCCAUCAUUCCGCACUGGGCGCGGAGAAGAGGGGGUGAGGGCGCGGCCGGCCCGCCCCUCCCCCGCCGCCUUCCUGCGCCGCAACCUGGACUUGACCCCCGCGAGCCUGGCUCGGCGCGUCCGGGGCCGCCCAGCCGGAGCCGGGCGCUGAGACCGGCGGCCCGGGCCGGCGUCGCUGCGCGCCUGAAGACCCGGGCGGCCAGACGCGCCCACCACCCCGCCGCGCGCGCAGACCGACCCCGCAGCGCGGCCGGACCCUGGCGCUCCCGGCGGGGAAACGUUUCCAAUGCCUGGAGCUUUUGUUUGAUAGCGAGGGAGGUGGGUACGGCGCUUGGUGGGGGUGAGGGGAGCAGAAAGAGAGAGAGUUUGGUCCCCAAGUAUUGAGCUGUGAGAGAGCAGGGGCAACUCCAGGGCCAGCAUUCAGAGCGGAGAAUUAGAGCUGCGCACGCCCCAGGUCGGAUGCGACAACGAGGUCCCCGGGCCUCAGCAGCUAGGUGACACUGGGCAAGUCUCAGCAGCUCUGGGGGCCUCAACGUCUCAACUGUAAACUCUGGGCACGCGGCUAGCGCCACGUCCUCUCCAGCCCUAACAUUCUGUGAUUCUAAACUUGUCUGAUUUGUCUCAUAUGUUGCAAGGCUCGUAGCAAAAAGAAAAAAAUACUCCAUAACUAUUUAACAGGAAUUAGCUGAAGCACAGCUCUAGAGAGAGAGACACACACACACGUUUCAAAUAACCCGAACACUAGAACCUAGUGAAUUUUAUACCUUUACUAAACUUUAGCGAUUAUUUGUUUCUUUCGUAACAAAGGUUAUUGAUUAGAUUUAGUGCUGAAAAAAACCAACAACGUGCGCUUCGGUCAUUUGUCUUAUGGAGGAAACAUAAAUCUAUAAAUCUUCCUCCUGUCUCUAAGAAAUAAAACUCUCUUCAUUUCCAAAGUA
rnacentral:lncRNA from 1 species